AAACAUUUAUUAUAAAUGAUAUUGCAAAUAUUUGAAUAAAAUAAAAAUAUUCAAUAAAAUAUUCUAAUUUCUUGUAAAACAAUAUUUAUAGAGUCAUCGGUAAUAAAUUUUUUAAUUUUUUUUUUGUAAUGUAAAAGAUAAAUAAAUUCAUACGUACUACAAUACAAAUAAUCAGGAUAUGAAAUUUACUUUACAGUGACUCGUGGGCCCACAAGGAACAAAAGUGCACAAAGGCAGUAAACAUACAGUUUUUGGAGUAGUAAAGCCGACUAUAGCCUUCGACGAUAUCAACUAUCUACACACUAUCCUAAGCCUGAAAUGGGUGGAAAGGAAGGUGGUGAGAUUAUAUAAUCCUAGUGAGUAAACAAAUACUAUCUAAAAUAUCUAAAGCAGAGUAAAUGGAGACAAUUAAAAUAAAUCAUCAUACUGUAAUUUCAUUACCUUUCAACUUAUUUCAACCAAAUAAACAACUAGGCUUAUGAUUUCUUGAAAAGCUUGGCUUGUGCCAAAAAUCAUUCUCAUACUCAGUUAUCAGGGAUGCCUUGAUCGAGGGUUAUCCCAACCGAGUCUGCCAAGGCUGUUAAAAAGUCAUGUGCGCAUAAAUUAUGUUUUUAUUUUGAAAACAUAGCCGUUCUUUAGCAUUGGCUAAGUUCACCCUUACAUGGUGAUUUGGCGUGAAGUGAACUCUAAAAGUGUUAGCCUCAGGAGUUAUCCACCCUGCCUUUCAUACUGAGGUAAGAUAUAACGAGGUUUACCGUGCCCUUCUAAUAGGCUGGUCCAAGGAAACCCGCCCACUGCAGUAAGCUAAUAAUUAUCCCACCAAUCAAUAAAAUUCAAUAACAUGAUAUGGCAAUUAUUGUAAUUCACAGCUUUUCAAGGCUAAAUACACAGUUUAUAUAUUUCAAUACAAAUAUCAAUUCAGCCAUUCAUGCAAAUAUUGUCAUAAGCCAGUCAAUUCAAAUCAUGAAUUUACAACACCUCAAGUGGUCUCCAGUUACUUUAUUUUCAAAGUCAUGAUUCAAUUUCGAGACAAUUUAUAAAAUAAUUUUAUUUAAACACGUUUUGUUUGUAAAACAAAAAGAUUUACCAUUUAAACUCAUUUUCCAUAAAAUCCACAAAUCGAAUAAAAACCACUCUAGAUAAUUAAGACCAUAGUAAGGUUACUCACUGUAUUAAGAGUUCGAUAUACUCCUAUUCCCGGUCUUCGAGCACAAUCUCUUUACCCUUGUUAGAGGGCUGACCACCUGUACAUCAUACGUGACACGCAUUUCAAUAAAUUGUGUCAAUUUAUCAUAAACUAUUUCAGGCUCUCUAAAUCUAAAUGAAUGCAUGCGAUGGGAUGCAAAAUGUCCGAUUAAUCACUUAAAUGUGAUAUUCGACCUAAGUCUAAUCGGCUAAAAUCUCCAAUUUAACUCCAAAUCAAUUCUUCUCACUUUCUACACUCUAAUUAUACCUAAAUUACCUCAGUGAUUGUGAAUGAGAUUCAAUUUAUCAGUCCCGGGUUAAUAAUCACACAUGUCUAUACGUUAAGCAAAAAUUCAGAUUUUCACACCAAAAUUUCCCAUUUAAUUUCUAGCCUCACCAAACAUCAAACAUCACCAAAAUAUCAUGAAAUAUCAUCAAUUUCAGCCAUAAUAUCCUCCCUAGAAAAUUCGGCCAAUGAUGGGUAAUGAGAGAAAAUAAAUUUUUCUUGUUGGUUUGUUUCUAGACAUGAUAAACUAACUAAAAACACUAACAUAACUUAGAAUCAAAUCAAUCCAACUUCAUUCUCUCUCCAUACCCAUUCCAAACAGCCAUGAAUUCACCAUAAAAACAUGAAAUCUAACCAUGAAAAAUGAAAAAGAAAGCAUGGGUAGUGUAAAUCACAAGUCAAAAUCAAGAAAUUUUACCUUUAUUAGCUUAAUCCCUUGAAAUCCCACACUUUUUCUUCAAUUUUCUCACCUAGGGUUCUUAUUUUUUUUCCUUUCCUCCUUUGUUCUUCUUUGGCCGGCCAUAUGAAUGAGAAAUGGGCUGAUUUUGUGUUAAUUUUAAAGCUAAAUAUUUAAUGGUUAUAAACAUGCCAUGUGUCACCAUUUCAUUGGUCCAUUUUUAUUUCUUAACUAUUAAGCUUUCUCUCUCCACCAUAUAAAUUCCUUCAAUUAUCCAUGAU
rnacentral:lncRNA from 1 species